rnacentral:pre_miRNA from 1 species
CCAUUUCUCUGGUCUACGUGCUAAUGAAUUUCUGUCAAAUCUACGAAUUAUUUAUUAUGGCAGUACCUGCUACAUCAUUUAUAUGGAAUUACAAGCAAUUUUUAUUUAUCUCAUUAUGGUGAUAUU